rnacentral:lncRNA from 1 species
GUGGGUGAAAAGAUAAAAUAAUAUAAUAAAUAUAUUAAUUUUGUAAAUAUGUCACGUGGUAUAGAUUAUAUAAAUAAUUAUGUUAUGGUACAAAUCGUGUAGUUCAUAAAAAAUUAAAAAUUUUUAUAUUGAUAUAUUUUAAUUUAUUUUUACUUAAUCGUACAAAUAGAGCUUCAUGCAUUAUCAUUAUUUAGCAGAGUAUUUAAUAUGUCAUAUAUUUGUACAUAUUAUAUUUCAUAAUUUAAUUUACAUGUGAUUUGAAUGUAGGUAAGAAUUACAAUAAUUAAAUAAAUUGAUUCUAUUAUAAAAAAAUUUUACUAGCAUGUUUGUCUUUUAAUUUUUUUUUCUUUUAAGUAAUAACAACCUCAUCAUCCUAGAAAUUAAAUAACAAGAUUUACAAUAUAACUUUUAGGAUUCCUAUUUUUAACCGAUGGGAUAGAAUUUAUGCAUUAUUUCCGAAGAAAUUUUGUGGUAGAAACUUGUAAACAAAUUCAUAAAAGAAAAAAAUAAAAAUAAAAUAAAAUUUAUCAGACUAUAGACUAUUUUGAAUUACUUAUUCGGUCUUUCAAAAUUUUAAUAUUACUAUUCAAUUUUUCAAUUUAUUUAAUUUGAGUUAGUAAAGCACACUUUGACUUCAAAAUUUAAAUACGUCGUUUAUUUUUGCAAAUUCAAUUAGUAUAUAUCAUAUAAUUCUUAUAACUAUAGAUUUAUUAAAAUACAUCACUAGUUUGAAAUUUUAAAAUUAAAGUGUUAUAAACCGUCUAAAAUAAAUAUUGGAUAGUAAAAUUAAAAUUUUGAAAUAUUGAAUAGGGUGGAAUUUAAAACAAAUGUACAUAAUAAUUAACAUAAUUUCUAUAUGUUUAUACUUAAAAGAUAAUAAUUAUCUGUGAAUAAAGGGGCGUGGUUAUAUCAGUGUCUGUACGGGUGCGCAAAGAGUUUGAAAGUCAAAAGAGAGGCGCCCGUUAGGACCACGAACAGCAAUUAUUACGUUUUGCGGGGAUUUCGCGCAUCUCGAGAAAAAAAGGACCGUUGCAGAAAGCUUAGAUUAUGGGCCCCACAUGCACACCUCUCAACCGUCGGAUAUAUAUCACACGGUUUAGCAAUAUUCAAUAAUAAUUUCUGCCAAUUUUUUUUUUUACUGAGCAGUUUCUCAUUAAAAAAAAAAAAAAAAAAAAUCGCCCUUCGCUAUUAUUUCGAAAUUGGAGUUUCUACAGCUUCUCCUCUUUUUCUUUUUUUUUUUUUUUCUUUGCAUCCAUAUUUAUUUAUAAUUAAAACUACAUUUUUUAGGACCUCACAUACUAAUAAACCAUGGUGCAAUUUACUUUUAUUUUUUAUCCCUGUCACGUAACGAUGCUUAUAUAUAUAAUCAUUAAACUAUGCAAUAUAUCAAUCAUUUUUUUUAAUUUAGAUUUUUUUUUGAAAAAAAGAAGAGCCUUGCUUUAUAUAUGUGAUAUGACGAGGUGACAUUGCCUCAACGGUCAUCGACCGCAAUAUUGCAUGACACCAACGGCAUUGUCGUUGGUUACAAUAUUGCUUAUUUAGUUAUUUUUAAGGUGCCUCAAUUUUGUAUUGGUUAUUGUUAUUAUUAUUAUUAUUAUUAUUAGUUUAUUUAGUUCAAAAUUAUAAACUAGUAAAUUAAUAAAUUUCAGACCAUAUGAAAGCUUUAAAUUAUUUUAAUUAAGAUAAAAGCUAUAAAUUCCAUUUAUUAUUUCAGCAAAUUUCAGUAAUACUAUUUCAUCUGGAAAUGUACCAAUUAAUUGAUUCAGUAACUAUUUUAUUUUUUCUAUUAGAAAAAUAUAAGAACUAGGCUGGAAUACUAUUAAUAGCACAAAGUCAUUGGUGCUAUUACAUUAAAAAAUGUGCGGUUGGAAUUAUGUGAGCCCUCUAGAGUUGAGUGGGUGGUUAGUUGAAUAGUAUAAUCGAACGAAUGAAAAUAAUAAAAUAGGUAAAUCUAACGGCAGAAAACUUGAUAGCACCAAAUGCUUCGUGCUAUCGAUUGUAUCCCAGCCGGACUCAAAAUAUAAUGUAUAUUUAACGAAGUGAUCCAAUUGAAACAAAAAUUUAAGUUUGCAAAAUGAAUUGAAACAAAUUAGGAUUCAUUUGUAAUAUUACAUGCAUAGGGCCUCUUUUGACCCCGGUGGUAAAAUUGCUGCUUGGUUAGAACUGCUUCAGCAAAUGGGCCUAACAUGGCCCAUAAAAUCAAUGCAAUACAUAUUUUCAGCCCAAAUCCGGCCCAAAUAUUCUCCUCUUCUGAAGGUGAAUGUGUUUAUGGGCCUAAGUAGCCCUCAACUAGAAAAUAUAAGGCCCAAAUCCAAUGAAAGGUUUCGUUGCAAAAAUGCAAGCACUGGACUUUUCAUUCAUAUUGAGACUUGAACUCGAGACUCAAAAUUUGAGGAGACUCAAAAUUUGAGGAAAAGAAUACUUAUCAAUCAGACUACUAGUCAGUGAUUAAUUUAUAAUAUUCAAGUAAUAAGAUUUGAGAGGAAAAAAGGGAAAAAGUUGGAAAUGAGAGUUUGGUGUGUUUUGUUCAUAACCCAAAUGAAUUAUGCGAAUGACCACUCUCCUAGACUUUGUAUCUCAGCUGUAGAUGAUCUAAUUGUGGUGUAUGUCAAGUACUUAGUAAAUUAGGGAUUCGCAUAAUAACAAUAGUCUCACGUAGAAAAUAUAAUUAAGUAAAGACAUAAUAUAAUAUAUAUUAUUAGGCAAGAAACUACAAGCUAAUAUGGUCUUAGAUUAUGUAAUCUUCAACAAUUGAAUAAUAUGUCAAAUCCUUAACUUUUAUGAGCUUGAGCUUUUUCUAAUUUAAUUACUAAUCUUAGACCAAGCUCGAAGCGCACGUCGACUUGCGUGCAUGGUUUUAUAAUUGGUUUCCACUGAAACUUCAAAACUGAUCUAGUGAAGAUAUAUAUCAUUUUACUAAUAAGAAACAGUACUAAUUAACUUGCCCUACAUAUAUAUAACUUAUUUUCCUGUACACAUCUAUUGUGGUAACCAUGCAUUCUCCCAUGCAUGGCUUUCAUAGUUCCAUAGUAACAUGAAGCUCACAUGCUCUACUACUCCUUGUUAAAAUUAAGGCCAAAAAGUCUAUCAUGUUCUCAAUUUGUCAAGAGAUACCACAUAAAUUAGUUUUUCAAGCUCAUAAAAAUAAUAAUAUAUCUUUUUUUAUUAGAAGUCCUUAAUUAAGGACAUAUUAAUAUAUCUUUUUUUAUUAGAAGUGCACACUAAUUUAUCAAUCUCUUAAAAUGAUAAGAUCUUUAGAGAGAAUAGAAUAAUUAAUAUAUCAUUCAAUGAGGAAUCUAUGAAUAAUGCAACUAAUUAAGGGCCCUUUGGAUUCCAAGUAUUUUUAAGAACGAGCUAAAUUGUAGUCUAUGAAAUUUUUUACAUUUAUAAAGUCAUCGUUGGGAUCGAGGAGGAGAAAAGAAUUAUGUAUACCAACACUAAGUAUCAAACUAAACGUAGUUAUAUAUUCAAGGGGCCAACAUUUAAAAAUGAAAAUAAGGUGAAUCCGCAAAGGUGAGAUUACUUAGAAUCACACAAAUGGGAUUUGUUAGGUAAGGUUAGGUCUAAGCUCACAUGGAUGGCCUAAACUAGUUUAACCCAAAAGUGUAGAUUAAUUCUUAAGAUUGUUGAUUUUUAUUCACUCUAGAAUUCCUCACAUGUGGUUUCUAGUAGUCAUUGAUCUUCAAAAGCUCAAGCUACCAAAUCACAAAGUUUUAAUAUUUUAUAAAAUAUGUUUCCAGAUAUAGCAUUGCAUAAGAUUAUUUUAAGUACAUAGCUCUAAACUCUUUAUAUUAUAAUAUUAAAAAAAAAGAAGCAAAUUGCAAAUCCUUCAAAGUCAAAUAGAGCCAUGCACAUAUGCUACCAUAAAUACAUGUAUAAAUUAAUUCACUUUCCAUUGCUACAAUGUUAGUAGUCUUAAUUUAGUCUACCAUUAAAUAAGCAAACUAAGAGUAGAUAUAUAUACAUGUCAUAGACCCCAAUCUCCAAUGUAGACACACGUACAAUUAAACAAAUCCUUCUCCUUCCCCAAUAUUUAGUUUUUAGCCUCUAAAGUCCAUGAUACAUAGUUUAGAUAAAAUCCAUGAUGUAUAAGAAACGUCCUUUACAUUUCUCUACCCCAAACAAGUAAAAAAAAAAAAACCAAACACCUUAAUGAUCUAUUAAAAUUUUUUUGCAGUUUUCAACUCAUAUUUAAAUAAAGGGAAAACGUUCUUCUAUGGAAUCUCUUUAUCUCCACAUCCAAGAAUACUAAGAGAUGAACAGUAAAAUUGACUUGACUAUGCAAUAUUCAUAUAUCAAAUUAAUUUAUGUACAAAGUAUUUAAUUAAUUGGGUACACCAUCAAUGUCUACAAGGGGAAUAAUGAAUGGGCAUCAAAAUACUUAUUAUUUUAUGUACGAGUUGCAAUAAAUACGAGCACGACUUGUUACGACCUAGAUCUAUUUUGUCUGUGUGUAUGCAUGGAAAAUGGAAUUUGUGAAGAAGAAACUAUUAUAGGAGGGGGUGUUGUACGAAGAAGAAACUAUUAUAUGAACCGCGUGCACAAUAAAUUGUGCCUAUAAAUUCUUAUCAAGUAGCUCCUAAAAUAUAUAUAUUUUUUUGUGAAGAAAAUAAUAUUCAAUUUUUAUCGAUCCUAAUUUUGUGACUAUUAUUGUGUCUUUGUGGUUCCCAUGUAUAUUGAGAGUGCAAUUAUAUUAAAAAGGGUCUGUAUUAAGACUUGUGCGCUAUGUCGUGCUGAUAUAUACAUCCUACUCUAAUGACACAACAAUAGUUACUUAGAAAAUUUAAAUUUUUAUAUUUUAUAUAAUUAUAGAUAUUUUAGAUAUUAUAGAUCAUGAAUAUUGAACUUAAUUAAUGCAUGAAAUCAACGAAUGUCUACGCAUGGUGCAUGCAAUAAUUUCCGCAGUAAAGAAGGGAGAGCCCACGCACAUGGGGCUGGACCAGGUGUCACGUGCCCCCGGGUUUUCAGUAUCUAGAAGCACGUGACGAGAUAAACGGGUCGACUUGACCCAAAAGUGCAACCCGUUGCUAAUUAUAGAAAAAUAUGUACUCUUAAAUUACUCUUAAUUUUUUUUUACAUUAUAAUCUUAUUUUUUGUCUAAUAUUUUUUAAGAGAGAUAGAUAGCACGCCUUUGAACUAGGAUUUGAACUUGCGUUUGGGGUACCAACCACCAAGCCUUUUGCCACUUGCUCUAGAAACGGUCGAUUAUUUUUGUCUAAUGUUAAAAUUCAGAUUUGUUGUAACAAUUAUAUAAUAAGAGAGUACAAUUAAUGGCCCACAUUAUAUAAGGAUCGGAAAACAAUGAUUUGCACUUCUAUUGAAGUAUGUUUAAUUACUAUACAUUCUCUUAAAUAACAAAUAUCAAUAUUUUCAUAUUCGUCCAUCGCUCUAUAAAGAAGGUGAAUAAUCUUUAGUUAGAGUUGGAAAAACUUUUGGAUUUAGCAAAUGUAUCGAAAGAAUAUGGUUAUUUGAUUGCAGGAAAAGGCAUAGAUUUCAAGCUCUAUGUGUUUUUACCUCUACAUAUAUACUUUCUUUCUCCAAUCAAUAAACUGUAGGGCCUGUAGUCAAACCAAACAUUCUUUAAAGGGAAAACUUCAAAAACCCCCCCUGUGGUUUCGUGCAUUCUCAUUUUGCUACCCUGUGGUUUAAAACGUAUCAAUUUGCCCCCCUGUGGUUUCGUUUUUAUUUUUUUGUUAUCAAUUUUAUUAUUAUUUUUUUUAAAAAUCAGUAACAAAGUUAAAAUAAAAGGAUACUAAAGUGACUAUUCGAUAAAUAUAGAUGGUUAUCUGAAGUUUUUUGUAUAUAAUUUAACGAGAUAUUAACGAAAAAGCUUCCGAAAAAAUAAAAAUGAAACCACAGGGAGGUAAAUUGAUACGUUUUAAACCACAGGGUAGCAAAGUGAGAAUGCACGAAACCACAGGGGGGGUUUUUGAAGUUUUCCCUUCUUUAAAUUUGCAUUGUAGCAUAAAAAAAAAGAGUAUCUAACAAAAAUAAAUCAUAUUUUUUUUAAAGUUCUAGUGAUUGCUAGAAUGAUAUAAAAGCAACAAAAAAAAAAAAAAAAAAAAAAACUGUAUGAAAGUAAAUGCCCUUCUAAAAUAAAAUUCACUAAUAUAAAACUGUGUAAUCUCUCUCUCUCAUCAUUUAAUAUGUUAGCUCUACACCUUUAUGUGAGCUCGUCCCUUGGCCCCUCCUGCAUUGCUUCCACGCACCUUUCCCGCUUCAUGUUUUAGGUGCUCCAUCUACUCAAAACGCUUCACAACUUCAACCACUACUUCAAAAACCAUACUCUUUUGAGUGAUGUCUCAGAAUAAGCACUAAUUCGUUGCUUAUUGUUUGCAAAUGCAAAAAGUGUGUGUGUGUGUGUGUGUUUUUUUCUUUUCUUUUUCGCUUCUUCCAGAACAUGCAUGAAUGUCGACGACGCGGAACUAACGCAUGUGACGCUCUCCAUUAACAAAUUGGUUAUUUAUAUUGUAAAUUUUAAUUUUCUAGGAUUUACCAGGAUCAGGUUAUGUAAUCGACCCAAUAUUUCGGUGGUCCUAAGACAGUAAUUACAAUGUAUGUAAGUACGUACAUGCCUAAAAAAACAAAAAAACAAAAAAAUUCUGGAUUAAGAAUCUCUAUUUAAACACCACUCUCCUUAAACUUCGGGUAACAACAUAAACUGAAGCUUCAAACUCCCAAUUUUUUUAGAAUUUAGAUUUUUUUUUUUUAAGAAAAAUAUUUUCGGUUAUCCACAGUAUUGUCAUUGUAUGUUGUUGAUGUGUUGUUAUUGAGUUAGGCAGGAUAUUCGAGAGUGUCACAUGAAUUGUCAAUAGAUGAAUAACAUAUAAGAACAUUAUUAUGAGGUAACUUGUAUUUGCUUCCUUUUUAAAUUUCUUUUUAGCCAUAAAAAGAAUCUCUAUCGUUUGCCUUUUAUUAAUUUGUUUACAAACUCCUAGGUUAAUUGAACUGCUCGAGUAGAAAAUAUAUAUAGGCACAGGAUUAAUUAAUGCCAAAUUCUCAAGUCACACCUACUGCAAUAUUUUGGAAAGCAAAUUUACAUUGUUAUGUCACUUUUUUGAGGCGAUACUCUUAAUUACUCAACAAACCCUACCUACAAAAGCUAUGCUAAAUGUGAGAUAAAUAGACCUAACAUAUAUAUUCGAACGUAACACUAAACUUAAGAUUAUAAAUAAACGUUUCCAACAUCAAAUGGCAAAAUCAAUAACACUUUUAAUUACUUCGGGUACUUGUGUGACAUGUCAGUUAACUUGAACAGUUGAACAUCUUAAAUGCAAAAAAGAAUCAGCAUCUUAUUUAGCUUCAACUACUCUUCUUGUUUAGCUUGUGCCCAUUAUAUCUUAUUUGAUGAGUAAGGGCUUUGAUAUUCACAGCUUAUUAUAUAUAUAUACAUAGAUAAAGUACAUUAAACAUAUUCAAGUUUAUUAUAUACAUAACAUAUACAUUUUGUCUGCUCAUAACAAAGUUAAUUAGCUACGUUAAUAUCAUUUAUUUCCAAUCCAAAAAAAUCCUCAAAAUUAAAAUCAUAUGCAAUACUACCAAUAAUAGAAAAUUCAUUCACAUUGUCCCCCACCACAUAAUUUCUUUCCUUAAUUUCCUUCUACCCCAUUUAAUUAAUUCUCUUCAACCACAAACCUAACGCUCACAACAAAUCCCACAAAAAAUAUAUAUCCAUCUAUAAAUGGAUAUUUGCCAUGAAUAAAUAGUCCAGGGAUCCCACUUCCUCCACGUGGAAAACUCUGAACCUUUGAUGGCCCCAAUGAUCUGAUCAUCACACAAAUCUCAGCCAUCCAUGACAGUAUUGCAUGACAUGAUUUUGGUUCCUCAGAAAAACAUAGAAAAAAUAUAUUUUUUAAAGAAACAACAUUUUUUUCAUGAAAUUUAAAAAAGAAUUUAUAGAAAAAAUACUUUUCAUAGUAAUCAAACAGACAAAAUACUUUUCGAUCCAGUUCAAAAAACUUUUUUUUGGGGGGUUAUUUUUCAGAAAUUAGACCAAACACUUGCAAAGGUUAGUAUUUAAUAACUGGGCCAGGAUCAAUUACUACUCUUAACUAAUCCAACAGAUCAAUUCACCUUGCUUAAGGGCGAGUUCAUAUAUAAACAUUAAUUUCGGUUAUUAAAUUUUUUCUGAUUUUAGCAAUAAUGUCGACUGUACCAUGUUACUUAAUUUGAACAAUUUAGCAUUCCAAUAUAACAAUUAAAUCAUCAUAGUUGGUCCACCGUUUGUGGAGAAAAGAACUUUAACUAUUAUCACACAAUUCAAAUUUAAGAAUUUUAAUUGUUAAAAUUGAAACAUUGUGGCCCAAAUUAAUUUACCAUGAGACGCAUCUUUAAUUCUAAAGAAAUUAAGAAGCCAAUAGUACGUAGUUCCAUGUGCGUCUGGUGCUGCAGUGCUUUAUUAAUAUAUAUAGUCUCUCAGAAGACUACUGUGUAUAUAUUAUUACUUCAUUAGAGAAAACGUAUAAAUUGUUUCCUGUACUAUCUAGAUACUGAACCUAAGUAUAGUACUUUAAUUUAAGUACAAUAUUCUUAAUUUCUAAUCAUAGAAAUUGCUCUCUAGUAUAUACAUGCAUAGUUGAGAUAAUAUAUAUACUAUUGAUAUUAAUUGAACAGUAUUUACUUUCGACUUUUUAACCAUUGAGUUAUUAUUAUUUUACUGACUCUUUCUAAAUUCUAGUCAUCCAAUAAUAAAAAAUUUGAUAGCAAAUAUUAUUUUCGUACUACAUAUUAAUAACAUUCUAUUUCUAAUAUGUAUUAAAUACUACAUUUUGAAUGUGUCCAACCGUUCUACACAAUAAAAUUGAAAAGCAUUAAAUAAUAAAAUAAUGUAUAAUAUUUGCUGUGAAAUUUAGAAUAUCAAGUACCAGCAAAAAAAAAAAUAAUAAUAAUAAUAAUAAUAAAAAAUAAAGAAAAUCUCUAUGUAUAAAAUGCCAAAUAAUUUGAAAAAGACAACUGCGAUAAAAUACUAUAGAAGCGAAGCCAAAUAGCGGGCAAUUUAAAUAGUAAGUGGACCAAAUUUAGAAACAGGAAUAGUUUAUGGCGUGUAUAUAUAUAUAUAUAUAUAUAUAUAUAUAUAUAUAUAUAUAUACAUUUCUACAUAUAUUAUUCCAACCUACAAAGCCCCAAAUACCCAACAAAUCCUUAGUACAUUCACUUCACCUAUCUAGAGAAGCUCCUCUUCUCUCUCUCUCUCUCAAAAACAACAGAAGAAGAAGAAGAAGAAGAAGAUGUUGAGCAUGAGUUCAGAGAACACUAAACUCCACAUCAAGCAAGAGGACAAGUUCUACUCGCGCCUCCUCUCCAAGGAGACCUCCGUCGCUAAUCCGUCGUUUCGCGUAUACUACGGCGGCGCCUCCGGUGCCGUCCCCUUCCUCUGGGAGUCGCAGCCGGGUAUGCCUAAGAACGCCGUCCCCGCCACCACACUACCCCCGCUCACCCCUCCCCCCUCCUACUACUCCUCCACCCCUACGCGUACCAAAUCCCACGGCCCCAAGAAGUCCCCCAACCUCAUCCACGCCAUACUCCCCAAACUCACGUUAAAAAGGUCCGCGCCCACGCCGAAGCCACCACCAACCACACACUUGCACUGCUCAGCCUCUUCCUCCUCCUCCUCGUCGUCGUCGUCGCUGUCGCUCUACGGGCGCACGAGGUUCACGAGCCCACGGUCGUCGUUCUCGUCCCGCGGGGACGACGAGGAGUCCGACGACGGGUCGCCGACGUCGACGCUUUGCUUCGGGGUGCGACACGGCAGCGGCUGGGGGAUUAAGGGUUGCUACUCGCUCAUGUUCGUGAAGAACGCCUCUUGCCGAUCGUAGGGCAUGGAUCCUGGCGAUAAUAUUUAAGGUAAUUUUUCUUCUACGUAGAGUCCAUUUUCAAGCUGGUGCGUACGUAAUUCUACGUUUGGUGUGGGGUGUUUGUGUAAGACGCUGCUUAAUUUGGUAGUGUGGCUCAUCUACCAAAAUGGAGAAGGGAUUGGUCAUUAAUACGUGUGUAAUUGCUAGAGAUCAACCAAAUGUUGUAGUAUGGAUCUUAAUAUUGAUAAUAAUAAUAAUAAUAAUAAUGUGGGUAAAUUAAGCUUGUAUUAUAUAUGCAUUAUUACUCUCCUUAUCUUAAUUUAUCUAUGUCAAAAGAUGCAUGCUAUUUUUCUUCUCGCAUGCCCUUUCAAAAUUUUUUUUCCUUGUAGUGAUUUAUGUCAUAUUAGAUGUUCUUAGCAGUGCUUCUCUAUAUUUCCCUUUUUUAUUUUUUUUUUAAAUUAGCUGUUGAAUAUUUUUAUGUAGAACUACUUCCCUAGUUAGUCAGAACUUACAUGCCAUACGUAUAGUACAAGAAGAUCGAGUUAGUUAAGUUCUGCAUCUUGCUUGUUUUUCAGUGUAUAAUUAUUAUUGUUUUUUUUAUUUUUAGAUCUAUGUAACAAGUACACCAAAGACCAAACAAGUAGUUCAAAAAAAAAAAGAAGAAAAAGGACCAAGAAGUACUAUUUUAAAAGAUAAUAUAUAUUUGGCAGAUCUUUUCAGCUGAGGUCCUCAUCAUUUUGUACACUGAUCAUGUAAACUUUCCCAUGAUUUAAUUAACCUUUCAAUUACUUUACAAUAUUGUCAUUUUACUAGAUCCAUAUACAACAUGGUACUUGGACUUGUCAGAAUAUAUAUAAAAUUAGUAAAUGUUUAUUACAUGUGGGAUCUGAUAUAUACAUAUGUAUACAACUUAGUUAACUUAGUUGUCAACAUCAGUAGAGGAAAGAUGUAGCAGCUUUCCACUGGGUAUUUAAUUUUGCUUCUGCUUUGUUGUUGGUGGAAUCUUUCCCCAUUAAUUUCUCGGUUCAUGUGAUGAGGCAUCAAUAUAUAAUAUAAACGGAAAACGAAGAGAGAGUGAGGGCGCUGUUACAGUGAUCAGUUAAUGAAUCAUGUACCUUGUCACGUUGUAUAUGGGACACACCUUCUCGUGUACCAUCGAUCCUUUCUUUUUUCUUUUUUCUUUUUGUUCGAGAAAAGUAUCAUCGAUCUUUUCACUGUAGGGUUUUGAUGGUUUUGUCUACCUCAAACUUCUUUAAUAUGUUUCUUUAUCUUUGACUAAAUUAAAGAUCAACAAAGUUUAUUUUGAUUAGGAUGGAUCACGUACUGUUUAAUUUUACUUUCUCAUUAAUAUUAGGGUCCUUUUUAAUUGCCAAGUACGAAUAAGUUCAUUUGCUCUUUUCCUAACAAAAUAAGAUAUGUCAAUAUUAAUUAGCCUCUAUUUCAAAACGUCCAAAACAUUUAAAUGCAACUAAACAGCAUUAUUAUUACCUUUUUCAAAAAAGAUGACUAUUUCAACAAAUAAUUGGGGUUAAUUUGAUCGACGAUCCAUUUUUGCAUUAGAGUCUCUCCUACUUACAGUAAACAAAAAACUUCUAGAUAGCUAGAAGCUUAUUUACGUAUUGCAAAAGUGUACGUAUUAUGCGAAAUACUCAAUACAGUGGAACUUUUGUUUGUCAACUACGUAUCAAAGCUACGUAUCGAAGCUGUUAUAGUAGCCAUACCAAACAAACAGAUAGAUUCCUAUUGGGACGUCGCAGCAAAAAAGUCUUGAGAAGCAUUGUAUAGUUAGUGAAUUAAGCAACAACAUGCCAAGUAAAAGGGGGAAACUUUAAAGUAAAGUAUUAUUAGUUGCAUCCCAACUGCGCAAUCUUUAAUUACCAUGAAAGCAAGAAAGGGGAAAACAAAAAAAAGAAAAAAAAGGUGACAUUAAAUAUAUUAUAACUUGAUCAAUUCUUCAAGCAAUGUUCUGCGAUGUUCUUCAAGCGAUGACCUAUAUUGUCCUCUAUUUCUUGCAUUUGAUCUACUUAGUCCCACACAAAAUUAACUUUUACGCACCACUACUCCAUUUUUCUUCUUGAACAGUAAUUUUUGGAGCCAUUCAUGUAUCAUUUACUAUUGACUUUUUCACCCAAACUAUAUAUAGUCGUGUGAUAUUUAAAAAUGGAAAAAGGUGUCAUUUAUUUCGACCAAGUUGAGAGUUAGAAGCCAUUAAUUGGGCAUCCAUGGUGAGUGGGCCAAUCCCACCAACUCCUACUAUAAUUGUAGAUCAUGCGCUCAUCUACUUUUUUUUUUUCCUUUUUCUUUUUUUUUUUUUAAUAUGGGCUCAAAGGAGUUGUGAGGAUAGGCACCCUUUAAUUAACUUUUUCUAAUCAAUUAAUAGUGCAUGGAAUAACGAAUGGAUUCAAUGAAUUUAUUUGUUAAUAUCAAAAUCAUCAAUCUAAUAAUAGCAUCAACCAUUUCUUUUUUUUUCUUCUUCCCAGGCUCUGACUGCCUUACCUUUGUAGUUUAGUUCAUCAAUCCAAUAAAUAAAGCGGGUAACGUGCUACAUUUCUCCUCAAAAAAAAAAAAAAAAUAAUAGCAUCAACCAUUUCUAAAAUCUUAAUCAAUUAAUUAUGGGAUGUACUACUCCUAGGAAUCACCCCAUGAUUUCUACUAGGAAUAUCUGUUAUUAUCAAAAUUAUCAAUCGAUCAAUAACAUCAACCAUUUCUUAAAUCUUAUCAAUUAAUUGUGGGAUGUUCUCACAGGGAAUUAUCACCCCUAUGGUUUCUAUUAGGAACAGAAUAACGUGGCAUGUGGGUCAUUGCAAAUUAAUAGACCAGCUUAAAUAACUAAUCCAUGUAUAUAUAGCACAACAAAAGGACUUAACACCAAAGGUUUGAAGAGCAAUACAAAUGUUGUGAGCUAGUUAUAUACUUGUCAACUUCAUAACAGUUGGUAUUAACCCCACCCUACUAAAGCUGCAACAGUUGCUUUGCAUCUAUGCAAACCGCGCAUUAAGUUGAUGAAAAGGAAAUAAAUUAAAGAAUCCCUACCAAAAUGAUAGGCUCUACAUAGGUGCAGUAGAAAUUUUGUUCAUUUUCUCUAGAUGUAUCCCGAAUUUUCAACUCUGACAUGCUCCAAAUUGCAGCACGACAAAUUUGAAGAGAGAGUACGGAAUAAUGUAUUUACUAGUAAAAAUGAGUGAGAAAUCAAGUAUUAUUAAUUAGGUAUUAACAUGUUAAGAAUAGCUUUCUACAAAACCAAUUAAAUAAUUUAUAUAAUAUGAGGCCCAAAUCUACGUAUUCAAGCUUUUGAGUUGCAUGGAUUCCACUAAUGUAUUUGCUACAUAUAUAGUAUUCGAAGAAAAAAGAAAAAGAUUAAAAGAAGCUCAUAAUGAACGGGCUCGUGAUGCUUAAUUAAUUGCUGUUUUUUUAAUAUAAAUAACAUAAUGAUCACACUUGCUAAUCUUAUAUUCCACCUUUAAUUAUCAAGAUCCUUCUUAAAUAGGUGUUUUAUUUAGAAGAAAAGAGGUUAGAAUAUAUAAAUGAAACAAUUUCGUGUAUUUUAAUUAAUCCUUUUUCUCUCAGCUGACUUAGUUCCUAUGAGUGUGUCUUACACUUUAAUUAUUCUCAUGACUCUUGUCCUUGCUUUGCAAAAGUACGUAUAUAUCCUCUAUAUAUAUUUGAUCAGAUCAGAUCUUUAUUGUAAUUAACUAACGUGAAAAUUUUAAAUUAUUUAGUAACCAACUCCCGACCAAAUUAACUUAUUUGUAUAAUUUGGGAAACAUUGUUAUUUUUAUUGGCUUAAAUAAUUUGAAAACUUUUUAACUUUCAAGGGAGGGUAAAUAAUUUGAAAUCUUUACCUAGCUCGUCAUUAAGAAAAGACAUCUUACAGCAGACAACCUACGUAGACGAGGAUGGACAGGGCCUAUAGCCUGUGUACUGUGUGGGUUGGAAGAGAAAACUGUGGAUCAUCUAUUCACGCAAUGCGUAUUUAGUAAAUUCCUGAUAGUAACAGUCUUGGAGGGGAUUCAAUUGAUAGACCUGGGUGACGAAGUGUCCCACAUCUGGGAUAAGUGGAUUUCAAGAUUUAGAAAUCAACCUGCUCGUUCUAAGCUGACCUGACUGAUAGCCUGCUGGUGGGUUAUUUGGAAGGUCAGAAACGAUACGAUUUUUAAAAAAAUAAACGCUGAUCCUUCUCUAGCGGUCUAUAAGAUUAGGUACUUGAAGAACUCGUGGAAGGAAUUCACAUAGUGUUUUUUUUUUUUUUUUGUUCGUCUCAUCUGAGGUCUAUUACUUCUCUCCUGUAGCUUAGUUCAUAUUUUUAAUGAAUGAAGCGGGUAGCAAGCUACCUUUUUUUAAAAAAAAAAAAAGAAAAAGAAAACUCGUUCUCCUUCAUAACGGCAAUAGUAUAUAUGUACCAAACUUGAUAUGUGACAGGCCAAUCAAAUUUUGAUAUGUCAAAUUAAUAAUAUAACUGAAUAGUAUUUUGAUAAUUGCAAAACUAAUAAUAGAGACAAAAAAAAGAAAAUAUAAUUAAAUUGCACCAUGGGUCAAAGAACCUGUUUGAAGUUUUAUUUAGGUUAUCAAAUUUUAGUACAUAUGUAACAAUUGAUCGUUAAAUACUAGUAAAUACGUAUAUUAGAUUAUAUAUAUUUCAUUAAUUGAAUAAUCUAUCACAUUAUCAAUCUCUAUCUUUUGAAGAUGACAUGACAGGUACAAAACUUGUCAAAGUCAUUCUUUUAUAUAUGACAAAAAUUUAAACAUAAUUUGAUAGGAUGAUUAAUUGAGAGUUAAAUAUUAGAGGAAUACUUCAAUACUCCAUAUAAAUUUUGACAAUUUAUUUUUCUUAAUAGAUGGUUUAGAUUUAAUAUGAUUCUAGAGGUGACCUGCUAUUGAAGUAUAGAUACCAUUCACCAGGUACCCAUUUAAAGGGUAUUUUAGUCUUUGUAAAAUAGUUUGGUCCACAAAACCGGUUUUAUCCAACUAAGAAUAUUGUGAUCCUCUUAAAUACCUAUAAUAAUAGUUGAAUUUUAAAUUACAACAAAACUGUAAAUUUAAAUUCAAAACAACAUAAAAUUAAAUUUAAAUUCAAUAUUUUUUUGAGAUGGAUACUUAAUAAAUUAGGUAUCAUCUAAUUUGGUAAGUUAUCAAAGUAAAUAAGAUAUUUAAUAUUUAAAGGAUACUGACAAAUUUGGUAUAUACUAAUUUUUUUUCAAUAUUGUCAUGUUAAUUAAUUCAAAUCGGUAACCUGUUCAACAGGUUACUUCGUGUAAUCCCAACCAGGUUACUUCGUGUAAAUUCCAACUGUACUCUUUACUAAUUAAGGAAUUAAAUUUUAAUACUUGUGGUGUAUUGAAGCAUUCCUUUAAAUAUUAAUGUAGAAAUGAAAGUUCGAAGAUUCAAUAUUUACAAUAAACUGAAGUAACCUAAAUAAAAAAUGAGGCAAUAAUUCAAUGACCAAUGAAUUAUUGAUUUAUUUCUCCAAUAGUUACACUAUCUCAUUGACCUAUAUCCUAUGAACAGUUGCAGCAUUAAUUAUGUAGAGAAAAAGGAAAAACAGUACUACUAGCACAUAAGACAUGAACCUACGUACCUUUGUCAUAUAUAUAUAUACAUAUGUAUAAGACAUGAAGAAAGAAAAAACACUGUGAAAAUGUUUAUAUAUUAUUCUUAACACAGCAACACCUACACUCAAAUGUUUGUCCAUCAUGUAUAUUUUAUGAUUGCUUAAUUUGUCUUUUCUAUUUGUUUUUGGUUCUACUUUUCUUGUCGGUGGUUACAAACCAAUGCCCAUGCAUGCACUUUUCUUUUAGAUAUAUAUAGCUUGUGAUAAUUAUAUGUGGAAACAAACAUCCCAUCACUGUUGUUGAUUUACAUCUUGGUGAAGGUUUUUUGUCACAAUAGUUAUAUAACCUAUACUAUUAUUGGCAUCUACAAAGUCAUACAUCAUACAGAUAUGGUGGUGUUCGACAUUCCACCAACCAUUAGUAGUUGACAUAAUCUUUUGGAGGGGAAUCGUGCAUGGGGUGACCAUGUUUCAUUUUUUUUGGUUAAAAAAAAUGGAACUGUUUUCUCAUAUUCUCUUGUACAUGUUUUCCAUAUAAGGUUGAUUUUUUAGGUGAAUUGAACUCUUAUAUUUUAAGAUAUAAACCUGAAAUAUUUUAAUUACAUAGCAGUUAAAUAAAAACUAACUAUUAUGUUUCACUCAGAUGUAUAGUGUAGUUUUCACUAAAACAUAACUACAUCCUUCCCCCGCAUGGCUGUCGUGGGUGUACAGGCUUGGGAUUUGGGGGUUGAUGUUUAUUCGGUUUGGGAUAGGUGGGGCGAUAGGAAGGGCCCGCAAUCUGAGCUCAAUUGGAUCCCGAAACUUGCGGCCUGUUGGUGGAUCAUCUGGGAGAGCAGAAACAAUACGAUCUUUCGAACGGGUCAGUUGGAUCCUCCGAGAGUCGUUUGCAAGGCUAAACAGCUGUCGGAAGUUUGGAAACAAUUUCUGUCGGUUAAUCGGUAAUUUUUUAUUUUUUUUUUGAGGUCCAGCUGCCUCACUCUUGUAGCCUAAUUCAUAUUUUCAAUGAAUGAAGCGGGUAGUGCCACCUUAAUCUCAAAAAAAAUACAACAACAAUUACAACAACAACAAAACAACACCAAAAGAAAAAACUAGAAACUUGUUUGGCGUAAAGAAAACGGAAAAAAGUAGCUAGUAAUCUUUUUUAUUUUAUUAUUCAAAUUAAUAACUCAUAGAUGUAUAUUCCAAACAGCAUAUAUCGGUUAAUACAUCCCAUAUAUUGUAUAGAAAGAAUUUAAGUUUUUUUUUUUUGUUUUUUUGUUAAUUAUAUAUUGCUCGUCCCACCCGAAUAUGAAUGGGAUAUUCAGAAGAAGGGCCCAACUGCACUCUGGGCUGCAUUUGGGCCAUCAGGGGCUAGAUCUAAAUGGGCCUAAUUUGUGACUUUAUUCAUUCUGUCGCUAGGCCUAGGUCUUGUUUGGUAUCGUAUUUGGUUUUUAUUUUUUAAAUAGAAUUUUGUAUAUAAAAAGAUGUAGAAAUGGACAAUGAUUUAAAGGUCUUUAUUUGACAAAAAAAAAAAAAAAUUUAAAAUAAGUUUAUUUUGUUUUCAAUUUUUUUAAAACAAAUUAUCGUCUAUCACUUAGCGGAUAAAUUAUAAGUUAACUAACUAUAACAACAAAAUAAAUUGUUUUUCUCCAAUACAUUAAAUUAAAUUAAAUUAAAUUAGUGUCUAAAAAAGUCAAAAAAUUAGGCCCAUAUGAUUGGUUUACUCACAACAUAAUUUCAGAUAUUCCGAGAGUGUUUCUUUUUUUUCCUCUUUGAAGCACAUGAAGCGAACACAGUUUUGAUUAAAAUAUAAUAUAUUACUAGAUUACGACAAAUUAUUAUAGUUAACUGGCCCGAAAAAGACACACAAUAUAUGAUAUGCAACUCCAGUCACAAGCAAACGACUUCUCAAAGAGUGAAAUCAAAAAAAAAAAAAAACACUAUAAUCCUAUAACAAUUCCUCAAACUCAUAUAGUUGAUUAUUAAUUAAUCUCAUAACUCGACCUUAAUUAGUUAAUUAAUCUUCCUGCAAUUCUUCCUGAUCUCGCCCUGCGACCCGGUAAGAGGGGUUAUAUCCCCCAUCUUGAUUAUGGCCGCGACGAAGUCUGAGCAGAAUUGGGUCGGGUUCAUGCUGUAGGUCUUGACGAGCGAGUCGGUCGAGCCGUUGCUAUACAAUUGCUGAUCCGAGUGGAGCAGGCCCUUGAGGUAGAUCAGGUUUUCGUAGUAGUUGUUGUCGAAUGUGGUCGGAGUUUGAAGGUCGAGAGGGGCCAAGUUGUUGUCCCCUGAGCCUGAUGUGCUUGGACAGUUUGAUUGCCUCGUCUUCGCGAAGGAGCUGUCGAUGUCGGUUUCGUUGUAGAUUCUGGCUCGGAACGAGGUGCACCUUGCUUGGCCAAUCGUGUGCGCACCUGUUGUGGUUAGUUAGAGUUAGACCAAAUUUUUGCAAUCAAUUCACACUGCGCCGUAAGUCUACAUGCAUUUUGCUAAAUGUUGGAAAAAGUACUCUAGAUUUGUAGUUAUAUGCAAAUUGCAUCAAAUUAAAGCUUUUGCUUUUGAGAUUGAAAGCGAAUUUCCCCGCCGCCCUUUGGAACUAGCUAGAAACUCUAUAGCCUUAAAUAAAAAAAAAUAAAAAAAAUAAAAAAAAAAACAGUAGUUUUUUUUUUGAGUAAACAGAGAUAUACCCUAUUUGUGAUAGAAUAAAGUUUGGAAAGGUUUACAAUUGCGACAAUGCCCGGAUCAGAGUCAAAACACGAUUUGAUACAACUAGGAGCAACAACAGUAGCUUAGACCACAUCUUUUUGAAUUUAAAUUUAUUUAUUCAAAAAAAUUGUUUUUAAUAACCAAAAUUAAAAGAACUAGUUGGAUGCAUGAUACUAGUGGCCAACAUAUUUAUAGGAAAAGAGAUCGUACCGACUAGCGCAACCAUCUCGUUUGCGGAGAGUCCUUGUGCUGAAAACAUAGAGAUGAGAGUGCUGAGGUCGGAGGUAGGUUGAGGGAUGUUAUUAUUAGCUGCAGAUAGGCUCGCGGUUCUCGCAUCCCUCCUCCCCAACUUUACAUCCCAAUUUGGUCCCCCCAGCUACAUCAGUUCAAAAAUCUAUUAAUAUCAUAUAAAUAUUGAUAUUAACAUAGCCACUUUUACUAAGAAUAGAUUAGAUUUCUUGAAUCUAAUCAACUCUCAAAUGCAGUGGCGCCCUAUUUUUUUUAAUAGCUUUUUUCCAAUAUCUUGGAAGAUUUCUAAUGCGCGCAUUGAAUUAUUUUGAUAAAUACUUAUUGAUACUUACAAUGACAACUGAGUCUCUCGCGGCGAUUGCCAAAAUGUCAGCACAUGACACCACCCCUGGGCAAGCCUGCUCCACCGCUGUCUUUAUAUUGUCAAUGACGUCAAAACCCCUAGCCGAGUUCUUGUUCGCGUUUGAGUUUUUCUCACCAGUGAAGGUUGCAGUGUCAUCUAGAAGCACCGAUCCGUCGCAACCCUAAAAGAUAGCAAAAGGGGCCCGCAAAUGCAGAUUAGUUUUAGCUCGGUUUAGUUUCUUACCCUCGAAACUACGAGCUUCUAAUAUAUGUACGCGUUAACAACUAAAAUGUCAUGUGCCCAUUGUGUUGACAUAUAGUAAACUAGAGAUCGAGAUGUAUGUACAUUAACGAAGCAGUCGUGAAAGAAGAGCCGAAGAAUGGAGGCGCCCAUCCGUUUCUCACUCGAGAUAGCCGAUUGGAGUACAGGCUUCACCGUCGAGAAGAGAUUCGGGCACGACGAGGAGUAGUAGUUAGUCGAGAGCUGCGCGGAAGAGUUCCGGACUAAAAGGAGCACAAGUGCAAGAGUGAAAAGCCCUAGAAUGGCCUUAGAAGCCAUUUUCUAGCUGUAUGGUGUACGUGACACAAUCAAGUGUAAAGAGGGGAACUUAAGUUCCUUUGGCUUGAGAUGUGCAUGCCACACAUAUGGAUAGAUAUGUACAUAUAUAUACACACACACGCAUAGGACUUGGUUUCGCCACCUACAAAACCUAGCUAACUCGUGAGAAAUUACGUGGUUGCAUGGGAAUCGAGAGAAAAGAAGGGAUGCUGUUCACAUUGAGUCGGUUGGAGACUUUUAUGAAUUGUACGUUGACGUGGGUAGAGAAAUGAAGGCGCGAUUAAGGAAGGAACAGCGAUCAUGCAUGAGGAUUACUUUGUCAAAAAUUGUUGGCUUCUUUGAUAGAUUCUUCUUUGUGAUGUGAUGGUCAAAAAGAAGCUGAGGCAAAUUUUCCCAAAGUGAAAGGGAGACUACUGCUUCUGGAACUCGUUAUAGGUGUCAUUGUUGUAGCAACUGUUUAACAUAAUUUAUUGCUAAUUAUCUUUGUUUCUGCUUUAACAUGCAUUUACUCAAAUGUAGUGUUUGGCAAAAAAAAUUAAGUUAUGAAACUUUUGUUGUUAAAUUAAAUGAAACAAUUAUUUUUCUCCGAAAGCUUAAAACUACAAGAAAACGAUAUUUUUAAUAUUUAUGUUUAAUGUCUGGAUGGACGCCGACCUUUUUGAUUGGCUAAAAACAUGAGCUUAAUUAAGCAAGAGAAAAUCAAAUUAAUAUCACUAAGAGGCUUGUGGGACUCAAAUUCAAAACCUUAUAUUUUGAAAUUAUAUUAAAAUAAAUAAAGUAGUAGUUUUUUCUCCAGAAACUUAAAAUUACUCAAAAAUGAUGUUUUUAAUAUUUAUAUUCAAUAUUUGCUGGACGUAAAGUUUUAAUGAGAUUACUUCUAUACUCAAAAUUUAGAAGUUCUUACUAAUUUAGUACUUAAGUUCUGUUUGUUAUUGAGGACUAUUUAACUCUACCAAAAUAAAGAAGAAAAAUAUACAAAAAUAUAUUUCUAUAUUUGCCGGUAAAACUAUGGGGGUGUUUGGCUUAACUAUUCAAAAGUGAUUUUGAGCCCAAAAUCACUUUUAAGCUCAGUAGAGCGUUUGGGAAUAACAUUCUGGAAAUCUGAUUCUGUUUUUUAGAAUCAGAAAACUGAUUUUGAAGGCUUCAUAAUCAGAAACAGAAAAAAGUUGCUUCUCCAAAACUGAUUCUGAUUUUGAACUCAAACUUCUAAAUUUAAUUUUUAUUUUAGAUUCAAAGUAUAAAUUUAACAUUAAAUUUUAAAUUUUAAAUUUUAAAUUCAUAUUUGAAUUUUUAAAUCUCAACUUUUCAAAUUUAAAAUUUAAAAUUUUAAAUUUAAGUUUCAAAUCUCAAAUUUUCAAAUUUUAAAAUUCAAAUUUUAAAUUUCAAAAUUCAAAAUUUUAAAUUUUAAAUUUUAAAUUUUAAUUUUACUUUUAAAUUUCAAAAUUCAAAAUUUAAAUUUGAAAUUUUAAAAUUUGAAAUUUGAAUUCAAAUUUUAAAUUUUAAAUUUUAAAUUUCAAUUUUCAAAUUUUAAAUUUGAAAUUUGAAAUCUCAAAUCNUUUAAAUUUUAAGUUUUAAAUUUUAAAUUUGAAAUUUUAAUUUUAAUUUUUAACUUAAAAUUUUUAAUUUAAAAUUUUAAAAUUAAACUUUGAAAUUUUAAAUUUUAAUUUUUAAAUUUGAAAUUUGAAAUUUGAAAUUUGAAAUUUAGAUUUAGAAAUUCAAAUUUAAAAUUUAAAAUUUUGAAAUUUUAAAUUUAUUUUUGUACAAGUUUGAAAUUUAAAAAUUAUACUUUUAAUUAAAAUUUAAAAUUUAAAUUAUUUUAAAAAUAAAAUUUAGUAAAAAUAUUAAUAUAUACAAAAUCAAAAUUUUUUUGCCAAACAGUUUUAGAAAAUCAUUUUAGAAAAAUCACUUUUUUCUAAAUUAAAUCAAACGCUCUACGGCUUUUCACCAAAAUCAAUUCUCCAAACUAAAAUCACUUUUACAGAAAUCACUUCUCCAGAAGCUAGGCCAAACAGGCCCUAUAUAUACUUUACAGUAAUCGAAUUAGUGUGAUCUACGUUUGCCGGUAACUCAUUUCAAUAUAGUAUGUCGAUUGGAUGAUAGUACUCAAAUAUAAUAGUACUCAAAUAACAUUUUAUCAAUAUAUAAUAAGGACAAAUAGACCGACCAUUUGGUCUAUAUAUAUCCAACAAUAAGGACAAAUAGACCCUACCAUUUGGCCUAAUCCUAAUACGUAGAUUAGAAAUGUGAUUAUGAGAUUUUGUCCCAACUUCUCUAGUGAUUGACUAGGACAAACAAUAAUAAUUAAUUAGGCGUGCCAACAUUUUAUCCAUACAUAUUACUAGCAAGUGAAAGAGAAAGCAUAGUUAUAACUUCGACUAAUACCAUGGAGACAGGUGAUCAUAGUCAUUUUCCAUCAUAUGUCAUGGUAUUUUCCAAAGCUGUAACUUCCUCGUGGAAAACAAGUGCAUGGCGAAGGUGGAAAAGCAAAAAAGUGGUCCAAAAUUAUAAGCCUUAAUUUAUAAUCUUUCACAAUAAACAAAUAUUAUUUCUGUUAGAUGUAUCUCAAAAUUUAGUUAUCAACUUCGAUUUUGUGACUGACUGUCCUAGAGCAAGUGACAAAGAACUUGGUGGUUGGUACCUGGACCCAAGUUCGAAUUCUAGUUGAUUCACAUUUCCAGCAAAGCUUAUUUCUAAAUGAAAUAAACGAAACGGGUAGUGUGCUACCUUCUCUCACUCUCUCUCUCUCUCUCUCAAAAAAAAAAAAAAAAAAACUUUGAUUUUGAGCCUUCGAUUUGUUGAUAGUUUUCGCAUUGCAAUAAAUUUGGAAAAGAAUUGGUGAAGAAAAAAUUGAAUAUCUGUGGUGGGUAACGGAGGAAAAAAUGACUUCGAUUUUAGGCUCCUGAUUCGUCGAAACCCGUUAAGAAAUCUCUUUUUUCUUUUAGCUCUAGAAGCGAUACAGUGUAUUGCACACACGAACUUUGUACUUUCUUUUUCAUAGUGAAGUUCUCUUCUCUUUCGCCCAUAAAUUUUUGCCUAUAAAAAAUUUUUCACGUAAAUCUUUAUUUUCCUUUUAUAAUUUUACUAUUUUUGUGGUAUUUGUCUACUUUGCGACCGCUUUUUGUCAUUUCUGUUUAUGCGCUCUAGCUCAUCGUAAUAAUUUCUUUUAUUAUAGUCAAGUGGAUGAAAAUUAAGUAGUACCAAAGAGUUGGUUUUAUCAGUUCAACCAUCAACUAGUGCAAAGCACGAGGAUGGACUCGUUCCAUAAUGGUGAAUUACCAAAGUUUAAUUCCCCGCAACCACUAAUAACGGGCUUAAUUAAUUAGUACUACUGCAUACAAUGUUGGACUAAAAAGUAUACUCUCAUUAACUAAGUCCCAGAAACUGAGCUUUCAUUGUUGGGUUGUAUUUGCUGAAUUUUAGCGCUCUUCAAAGUCACACUACCGAAGAGAGAUUCGGUAUGGUUUGGUGGAUUCAGAAAACAACCUUAGCUGCAUACAAACCGACAUGUAUUUAAUAUUUUUGACCAAAGAACAAAAAACUCUCUAGCACACUUCAGGCUCUAUCUCAAUUAUUCCCUGCAUUUUGUCACUACUUUAAAUAUAUCUAAAAAUUUAAAAUAACCGUGAAUUUGAUUGUAAAGUUUUACUAAAAUCACUGUUCGAGUAGUUUCGGUUUACUGUUUCUCCUUUUUUUUUAGCUUUCUAAUUAACCUUAUUAUUGAUAGGCCCCUAAAUCCUAUAAAAUUUUUUACAAAUCUAUAUAAUUCAAGAAGUCGAGGACUCGAGCUCCAUUUUUCAAAUGUCCAGUACUAGAAAGAUUUAGUUGACCUACAAAGUCUCAAAUAUCUCCUGCAUGAUUUAUUUGAGCUAAAAAGUCUCCACUAGAGAGUAAUAAAGAGAAAGCAAAAGCAACACCACUGAUUCCUUUAAUAUUGAAAUCUAAGAAAACUAAUUGCCAAGAAUUUUUCUAGGUUUGAGUCGCGUUUUCGAUAAGCUUAAUUACAAUGCGCUUUUAGUUCUUGUUUUAAUUAACUCUUUGUUUUCGAUUACCUAUAAUUAAUUAAUUAACUCUUUGUUGGAUUAGCUUCUUGUUAAUUUUACUCGCGGUAGAGCUUCAAUUAAUGCUUGGUUCUAAUUCGGAGUGUUUGCUAGUUAAUACGCCAAUCACGUUCCCUUAAAAAAAGAAAGAAGAAAAAAAGAAAGUGGAUCAAAGUCAAGCAUGUAUUUCAUAAAAAUAUAAGUGGAUAAAAAUCCAGUGUUUGAAGUGAACAAUGCACAUUAUUAUAGAUCUAGGCUUUUUGAAUUUAUGAUAUUUUUGAAACAUGUAACUCUUAUUUGACAUACGCAUGCAUGUUUUUUAAUUAUUCAAGCAUUAUAUAAAAAUGGGUGGAUAAAACGUAUGAUCAAAUGCCAACAAUAGCAUAUUAUAUUCGAUCUCAAUAUCAUCGCGUAAGUGAGAUAUACUAUUUUGAAAAUUAUGAUUUUCAGAACCAUGCAGUAAUUGUAGUUCUAAAAUCUUUUGAAAUCAAAACCCUAUCCAACCCUUAUCUACUUGGGCCAGUCCAAAUGCUAUGGCCCAAAGUAAUCGCGUACUUGGGCCUCCACUGGCUUAUUAGCGAACUGCUAAGUUUAAGAAUUUUGGAUCCAAUUCAUUUUACAGGCUCCGUUUGGUGGAUAAUUUAAUAUUUGAAUUUAAUUUAAAAUUUAUAAUUUGAUAUAUACAUUUAAUUAAUUCACAUAUAUAUAUUAAACUUAUUAGACUGUAAUUGUUAGUGCAAAUAAAAGGAGCAGUUUUCUCAAUUUCUUUCCGAAUCAAAGUUGAUUCUCACCUCUAAUAUGCCAAUCUCUGAAACCAAACGCCAACAAUAUAGAACAUGUUAGGUUCACGAUUGAAAUAAAAAUGAAAAAUAAAAUGAUAAAUUAUUCAAAAAUGCUUAAUUUAUUAUUGGAAUGGAUAAUGAAAUGAAUAAUCGAGACACCUAAGAUUUUGAAAAAAUGUUUUAUUUAAGAGAGAGAAAGAAAAGGAGUUUCUGAGAGAGAAUUCUGAACGAUUUACUUGUUGAUCUUGAAUUCAAAAUCAAAUAGCGCCAUAAAUAGAUUAGGUCAUUUUUAUUUCAGAAUAAAAUAAAAUUUGAAAUCAGAUUUUUACAAAAUAAAUAACAACUACCAGCAUUAGUUAAUCUCAUUUUGCUUUUGGAAUUUAAAAUAGAUAAACCAAACAAGCCACAUUAGAUGAAUCAUUCCAAUUGCAUUCCCAACAUCAAUUCAUCCAACUAAACAUGCCCGUAACAUUUUUUCAAUCGAUAAAUAGUUACUUACACUUGGUCCCCUCGUACAAAAUCAUUUCGAAAACGAAACGGGGUUUAUUAAUUAAUCGUAAUCAUAAUCAUAAUCAUCAUAUAUAUGUAUAUAUAGUUAUAGAUCUCCCACGUGCGUCACACGUGCACACCCAACGAGGUGGCGGGGGCCGGCCCCUCCUCGGCCUUGGCCUCCAUUUGAAUACAAACCUUUCCCUCCAUGACCUCCAACGUCUCCUUCUUGUACCUGUAACACCUCGCGAACCACACAAACACGCCCAAAUUGAUCCCCGAGAUCACCAUCAAGAAGGCGUAGUAGUAAUCGAGGUGCGACUCGUUGAGGUUGUUCCCUAUCCAGCUGCUUCCGCUGGUGGCCUUGUCGACGACGGUGAUGAGGAGGCUGUUGAGGAAGUUGCCGAGGCCGAUGCCGCUGGUGAAGAACGUGGUGCCGAGGCUCUGCAUGUCCUCGGGGGACUGGUCGUAGAAGAACUCGAGGAUGCCGAUCGCGUUGAACACGUCGCCGAUCCCGAGCAGCACAUACUGCGGCAGCAGCCAGAAGAUGCUCAUCGGCACGAUUGCGUCGGGGGCGGUGAUGCUGUGCUGCCUGAUCACGCGCAUGCGCCGGAGCUCGACCAGGUAGGCGACAGCGGUGACGAGGACGUGGAAGAAGAAGCCGACGCCGAGGCGCUGGAGCAGCGUGAUGCCUCGGGGGUUGCCAGUGCGGCGCCGGGCGAGGGGGACGAGGAGGCGGUCGUAGAAGGGGACGGUGAGGAGCAUGGAGAGGGUGAUGAGGGAGCCGAGGGAAGCCGCGGGGAGGCGGAAACCCCCGCCGAAGGAGCGGUCGAGGGUGGUGCCCUGCUUCACGAAGAGCGUGUUCACCUGCGCCCAGAUGGUGCAGGGGACCAGCGUGGUGAGCCACACCAUGCUCAUGCCCAGCACAAGCUUCGUCUCCUCCACUUGGGUCACCGUGCACGGCGCGCCGCUUCCGCACCCUUUCACAGCCGCCUUGUCCAAGAACCUACGUACGUGCGUGCGUGCAUGCAUAUGCAUAUAUGCAUGUGCAUAUGCAUGCAGAGAAAUUAACAAAUCAUUUUUUACAAAAUUCUCCCAUACAAAUUAAAUCGUCAAUAUUAUACACCUGCACGAUUGUACUUAAUUUGUGUAAUCUCCUCCUCUCAUUUCAUUAUUUUAAGUCGUCAUGAGCUCAUUAAAAAGUCUCGAAUCCAAAUAUUUCGACUACACAUUAUUUAAACACACACUACAUAUUUUUUGAAUUGAAUGUUGGAAAGAAAAUCACAAAAAGUACUCGAGAAUAGAAUAAUAUAUAUAUAUAUAUAUAUAUAUAUAUAUAUAUAUAUAUAUAUAUAUAUAUAUAGCCGAACUAAAUAUAUGAAAUGACAUAUUUAAAUAGGGUUGGGUCAUUCAAGCGGCCCAAAAAUCAAGCCCAAUUGCUUUUCUUUGUUGACUUUUGACGCAUGCAUUGCACUGAUGAAAAGUUUCAUAGAAGUAAUUAACUUAAUUAUUCAAAACAUUUAAAUAAGUCCUAAAAAGAUCGGCUUAAACACUUUCCGAUUUGAGGCAUUGCAUUCACACAAAUGAACAUGUGCUUAAUUAACUCUCGCAAGUCGCAACUAGUCAUCAUAGGCAUUAGGAAACAAUAGCAUGUAGAAGAGCAAUAAUAGUAGAUUCUCCUAGCACUAGCUACUAUACUAUGUCCCCUCCCAUACCUUAGCCCAUCAAUCUCCUAACCACUUCUAUGAAUCGAGGAUGGGCAUAGGUGAGUAGUAUCACUCAUCACCAUGUAAUUAUGGUGCGUCCACUAUCGAUCCAUAUAGGAUGGUGCUCAACUUGGGCUCUUAACACACUCACAGAUUCCUAGAAUAUAUAUACUCGGCCAAAAAGUUGUCACCGCCAAUGUUGAUAUUUUGGGUCUAUUACCUAGGCAUUAGAAGUAUUAAGUGGUCACUCCAACAAGUUUGAAUUUUUAUUUUAAAAUGAGCUUUAAAAGGCCAGUUGAGAGUGGACCUGGUCCAGGCUUUUUUUUUUUUUUUUUUUGCAAUAAUGUGUAGGAAAUAAUACGCAAUCAUUUAAGAGACACAAGUCCAUCCAGUUGGUACGAAUGAUAUUGAUAUUGACGAAGACGCAGAAAGCAACAUGUCAAGCCAUCUUUAAAAUUCGGGCAAAAAUGAAAGCAACAUCAUAUUUUGCUUGUUAUCAACUUGUGAUCCGGAUCUCGACCCCGAGGAACAGUGAUCUCAAAUUAAAGAGCACUUUGUAGAAAGGACACAGUUACAAAAUUGCUGGUUGAACACUGUUUCUAAAGCGAGAACUUAAACACGACAUGUUUAUCUAAAAGUCAAUGUUGUGUCUAAUAAAGCGACUAAUAGUUAACCCAAUUUAAAUCGACCACCAACAUACUACGGAAUUUACCUUACUCAUAGCUAGUGAGAAACUACCAUUACCUAUUUUAUUUUGUUCUCAAAUUUUAAAUUAUUCAAUACUAAUUAGAUAGUGGAGAAUGGAGAAUAAAGUAGGUGAUAAUAAAAAUGGAUGGUUAUAAGGGUGCAGUGCAUAAGUUGUACUGCAAUAUUGCAAGCUCUUUGGGAAUGAAUUACAGCUUACUGACCUGAAAGCUGAAGUGUGAUGGACUCGCCGCUUUCCGGUGAUCGCAUAGUGCUGCGGCUCCAGCUCGUAGAGCUCCGCCGCAUCAUCUGUCCGCUUCAGCCGGCGGUUUGCAAAAGCGGCGGCCAAAACCCUAGCUAUCACCUUCGUCGGGCUCUUCGUCCUCCUCAUCUUAUGCCGGUAGUUCGGCGUGCCUAGAUAGAAUAUCAGCAGAGAGAGCAUGAGCCCGGCCGUCGGAAUCCCGUAGCCGAGCCCCCACCCGACGUUCUCCUGCACGUAGACGAGCCCGAGCGAGGCCGCUAGCCCUCCGGUGAACGAGCUGAACAUCCACCAGUUGAAGAAGGACUCCUUCAGGCGCCGCUCGUGCGGGUCGAAGUCGUCGAACUGGUCCGCGCCGAACGUUGAUAUGUUCGGCUUCGUCCCGCCGGCGCCGACGGCCAUGACGUAAAGCGCCGCAUAGACGACCACGACCUGGGACGGCGAACUUUUGAGAGACUUGAGGGAGACGGCGACCGUCAAGAGCAUCAUGCCCUGCACAAGAAAAAAAAAAAAAAAAAAUUUCUCUAUAACAGAUAUUAUAUAUAUAUUUUUUAUAACAAUAUUUAAGCCAAACAAUUUUAUCUUAUAUAAAAUUAAUAAUUU